rnacentral:rRNA from 1 species
GAUGUUAGCGGCGGACGGGUGAGUAACACGUGGGUAACCUGCCUGUAAGACUGGGAUAACUCCGGGAAACCGGGGCUAAUACCGGAUGGUUGUUUGAACCGCAGGUUCAAACAUAAAAGGUGGCUUCGGCUACCACUUACAGAUGGACCCGCGGCGCAUAGCUAGUUGGUGAGGUAACGGCUCACCAAGGCAACGAUGCGUAGCCGACCUGAGAGGGUGAUCGGCCACACUGGGACUGAGACACGGCCCAGACUCCUACGGGAGGCAGCAGUAGGGAAUCUUCCGCAAUGGACGAAAGUCUGACGGAGCAACGCCGCGUGAGUGAUGAAGGUUUUCGGAUCGUAAAGCUCUGUUGUUAGGGAAGAACAAGUACCGUUCGAAUAGGGCGGUACCUUGACGGUACCUAACCAGAAAGCCACGGCUAACUACGUGCCAGCAGCCGCGGUAAUACGUAGGUGGCAAGCGUUGUCCGGAAUUAUUGGGCGUAAAGGGCUCGCAGGCGGUUUCUUAAGUCUGAUGUGAAAGCCCCCGGCUCAACCGGGGAGGGUCAUUGGAAACUGGGGAACUUGAGUGCAGAAGAGGAGAGUGGAAUUCCACGUGUAGCGGUGAAAUGCGUAGAGAUGUGGAGGAACACCAGUGGCGAAGGCGACUCUCUGGUCUGUAACUGACGCUGAGGAGCGAAAGCGUGGGGAGCGAACAGGAUUAGAUACCCUGGUAGUCCACGCCGUAAACGAUGAGUGCUAAGUGUUAAGGGGGUUUCCGCCCCUUAGUGCUGCAGCUAACGCAUUAAGCACUCCGCCUGGGGGAGUACGGUCGCAAGACUGAAACUCAAAGGAAUUGACGG